rnacentral:misc_RNA from 1 species
UCCGGUUUGUCACCGGCAGUCUCCUUAGAGUGCCCUUGCGUAGCAACUAAGGACAAGGGUUGCGCUCGUUGCGGGACUUAACCCAACAUCUCACGACACGAGCUGACGACAGCCAUGCAGCACCUGUGUUCCGGUUCCCUUUCAGGCACCCCCGCCUCUCAGCGGGCUUCCGGACAUGUCAAGGGUAGGUAAGGUUGUUCGCGUUGCAUCGAAUUAAUCCACAUCAUCCACCGCUUGUGCGGGUCCCCGUCAAUUCCUUUGAGUUUUAAUCUUGCGACCGUACUCCCCAGGCGGAUCACUUCACGCGUUAGCUACGGUACCAGCAGAUUGCUCCGCCAACACCUAGUGAUCAUCGUUUAGGGCGUGGACUAC